UUGCCUUUCUAUCUAGCAGCAUUGGCAUUAUUCCGUGAAUGUUUCACUGCUGGAAGGGAGCAGUUCAGAACUUCUCUGUUCAUUUGGCUUCUCAAACAUAAGGAUCAUAUUGAUAGCUCACAUUCAUCUAUGGUUGAUUGACAUUGCAAAGUCCAUUUCUUCUGUCAUCUCCUGCCAGUGACUUUACAUGUAAUCGGAAGCAGAUGAGCUGCUGUGGAUUCAGACCUGUGCAAACACAUUGGUAAUUGCUAUGUGCAUGCCUCCUUCCAUCCAGCAUCAGAGCUCACUGGUCUUACAUCACAAAUUAGCUUUUUGUCUGCAACCGAGAGGAGCCCUAAAUGAGAUACCAUGAAAUAUCAUCUUGCCCUCAUAUCAAAAAUGGAGAUGAGCCUUUCUUGAAGAGGUGGACAAGGGCACGAUGCCACAGAGCUGCAUUUCCCCUCCGCAUGGCCUCCAUUUGCCUUUUUCCGCAUGAUUAUCACCCAUCUGUUGCCCUCUGCCAUGUGUGGGAGGGCAGCAGAUGGGCCAGAAAACUGGAACACAGGAAAGCAAGUUCUUCGGAGAGGCAAGGAGAGAAAGCAUAAGGUCAGAAAAGAAAUCCGUAGACUAGCUCCAGGAAAAGGAGCACUCCAUAGAAGGCACUUACCAUCGAUGGAAACCCCAGAAAGAGAAAUGAGGAAAAAUAACAUUUCAUAAAGGCAUGUCACCAAUGUAACAGAGAUCCUACAGAAAUGUGCGUUACCCCGAGUAGAAGCUUCAUCCCAGUAUUUGCACAAACAAAGCUCUGCCUGGAUAAACAUGAACAACAGACAAUCAGCAAGCAAGUAUUCCUUUGAAUGGAAAGUCUUGGCUUGGAGCUUGAGCCAGACUCCUGGAAACCAACAGGAGUCAUCCCAUGGAUUGCAACGAGAUUUUUAUAAGCCCUUGGCUGUAAGGACCGAAGAAACCUUCACCAUAAGACGGAUUCUCAUGACACAGUGAGACACAGUGAGAGUCGGUGUGAAACCUCAUGU